rnacentral:rRNA from 1 species
GUAAGGAAUAUUGGACAAUGGGCGCAAGCCUGAUCCAGCCAUGCCGCGUGCAGGAAGACGCAUCUAUGGUGUGUAAACUGCUUUUGUACGGGAAGAAACACUCCCUCGUGAGGGAGCUUGACGGUACCGUAAGAAUAAGGAUCGGCUAACUCCGUGCCAGCAGCCGCGGUAAUACGGAGGAUCCAAGCGUUAUCCGGAAUCAUUGGGUUUAAAGGGUCCGUAGGCGGUUUAAUAAGUCAGUUGUGAAAGCCCAUCGCUCAACGAUGGAACGGCCAUUGAUACUGUUAGACUUGAAUUACAAGGAAGUAACUAGAAUAUGUAGUGUAGCGGUGAAAUGCUUAGAUAUUACAUGGAAUACCAAUUGCGAAGGCAGGUUACUACUUGUGGAUUGACGCUGAUGGACGAAAGCGUGGGGAGCGAACAGGAUUAGAAACCCCUGUAGUCC